UACGUAGGGGGCAAGCGUUGUCCGGAUUUAUUGGGCGUAAAGAGCGUGUAGGCGGCCAGAUAGGUCCGUUGUGAAAACUCGAGGCUCAACCUCGAGACGCCGAUGGAAACCAUCUGGCUAGAGUCCGGAAGAGGAGAGUGGAAUUCCCGGUGUAGCGGUGAAAUGCGCAGAUAUCGGGAAGAACACCCGUGGCUAAGGCGGCUCUCUAGUACGGUACUGACGCUGAGACGCGAAAGCGUGGGGAGCGAACGAGG
rnacentral:rRNA from 1 species